rnacentral:rRNA from 1 species
UACGUAGGGGGCAAGCGUUGUCCGGAUUUAUUGGGCGUAAAGAGCGUGUAGGCGGCUUGGUAGGUCCGCUGUGAAAACUCGAGGCUCAACCUCGAGAUGUCGGCGGAAACCACUUGGCUAGAGUCCGGAAGAGGAGAGUGGAAUUCCCGGUGGAGCGGUGAAAUGCAUUGAGAUCGGAAAGAACACCAACGGCGAAAGCACUCUGCUGGGCCGACACUGACACUGAGAGACGAAAGCUAGGGGAGCAAAUGGG